rnacentral:rRNA from 1 species
AUUGAACGCUGGCGGCAUGCUUUACACAUGCAAGUCGAACGGUAACAGGCCUUCGGGUGCUGCCGAGUGGCGCACGGGUGCGUAAUACAUAGGAACGUACCAAGAGGUGGGGGGUAACGCAGCGAAAGCUGUGCUAAUACCGCAUGUGAUCUGAGGAUGAGAGCGGGGGAGCGAGCAGCAAUGUUUGGCCUCGCGCCUUUGGAGCGGCCGAUGUCGGAUUAGCUAGUUGGUGGGGUAAAGGCCUACCAAGGCGACGAUCCGUAGCUGGUCUGAGAGGACGAUCAGCCACACUGGAACUGAGACACGGCCCAGACUCCUACGGGAGGCAGCAGUAGGGAAUCUUGGACAAUGGGCGCAAGCCUGAUCCAGCAAUGCCGCGUGAGUGAUGAAGGUCUUCGGAUUGUAAACCGCUGUUGUCAGGAAAGAAACGGUGUCUGAGAAUACCUGGCGGUAAUGACGGUACCUGCAGAGUAAGCACCGGCUAACUACGUG